AUUGAACGCUGGCAGCAGGCUUAACACAUGCAAGUCGAACGGUAACAUAAAGAAGCUUACUUCUUUGAUGACGAGUGGCGGACGGGUGAGUAAUGCUUGGGAAUCUAGCUUAUGGAGGGGGAUAACUACGGGAAACUGUAGCUAAUACCGCGUAAUAUCGAAAGAUUAAAGUGUGGGACCUUCGGGCCACAUGCCAUAGGAUGAGCCCAAGUGGGAUUAGGUAGUUGGUGAGGUAAAGGCUCACCAAGCCGACGAUCUCUAGCUGGUCUGAGAGGAUGACCAGCCACACUGGGACUGAGACACGGCCCAGACUCCUACGGGAGGCAGCAGUGGGGAAUAUUGCGCAAUGGGGGCAACCCUGACGCAGCCAUGCCGCGUGAAUGAAGAAGGCCUUCGGGUUGUAAAGUUCUUUCGGUAGCGAGGAAGGCAUUUAGUUUAAUAGACUAGGUGAUUGACGUUAACUACAGAAGAAGCACCGGCUAACUCCGUGCCAGCAGCCGCGGUAAUACGGAGGGUGCGAGCGUUAAUCGGAAUAACUGGGCGUAAAGGGCACGCAGGCGGUGACUUAAGUGAGGUGUGAAAGCCCCGGGCUUAACCUGGGAAUUGCAUUUCAUACUGGGUCGCUAGAGUACUUUAGGGAGGGGUAGAAUUCCACGUGUAGCGGUGAAAUGCGUAGAGAUGUGGAGGAAUACCGAAGGCGAAGGCAGCCCCUUGGGAAUGUACUGACGCUCAUGUGCGAAAGCGUGGGGAGCAAACAGG
rnacentral:rRNA from 1 species